UACAGAGGUCUCGAGCGUUAGGCGGAAUCACUGGGCUUAAAGCGUGUGUAGGUGGAUGGGUAAGUACCUUGUGAAAUCCCACAGCUUAACUGUGGAACUGCUGGGUAUACUGCCCGUCUUGAGUCACUCAGGGGCGAGCGGAACAGAUGGUGGAGCGGUGAAAUGCGUAGAUAUCAUCUGGAACGCCAAUGGUGAAGACAGCUCGCUGGGGGUGUACUGACACUGAGACACGAAAGCCAGGGGAGCGAACGGG
rnacentral:rRNA from 1 species